CAGACGCAAGAUAAUGUCAAGAUCUUCGAGAGCACAGUCUGUUCGAGGUCUACUCCCUGGGCACAGCAGCAGCCUUGAGACAGCUGAGAUGACGUACCUGUCUCUUGAAAACCCUACUUACCAGCACCGCCGCAGGAGAUAUGUGUUAACCAAUGAAGGAAGCAACAACUUGCCACGGUCUGAGCAGGGAUGAAGCUCUUAAUGAAGGAGGAAACAGAAGUGCUAUGGGU